CACAAUGGUAUGGCUAUUAUGAAGUGGACCAUACGCGAGAGGACAAUUAGUAGGUCCGUAUACAUGUACUACACCUCUAGUUCAAAGCCAACAUGCAUAUAUUAAUUGGGUCUGAUCAGGGAGAAGCCAUAGGUCCGUAUUAUCGCAACGUAGAUUGUAUUACAAUUUACAAAUUCAUGCUAAUUAAAAUAUGCUAGUAUUGAAAAAUACCAUCAAGUAUAUCUUCAGUUUUUAUUGCCAUGGUCUUUGUUUAGUUUUAGUUAACCAGAAAUGUGAUAAAUCCUAAUUAAAGUUAGAAUUACUUCACGCGAAUUUGUAACUAGUAUUUGAUUUGAAUCUAACAUUUAGCACAUUAUAGUUGACAUGGUUUUAUUUUUUUCAAAUCAAAGCUGCUUAAGCUGCAGGCACGAUUUUUGCAGUUAGACCACAUAAAGCAUCCGCCUGCGACUGCAAAAACUAUUUUCACAUAAAGCGGACGACAGUCUCACCCCCCGUUGUCAUUUUUGUAGGCGGUCAUUUUGGUUCUGAGAGGUCUGGGAAAAAAUGUCAUCGUGUGGAAAAUGUUUUUUCUAGUAGUGUACGACUUUACUCAUAUUUUUAAUCUUGGUGAAAACUACAGAAAUGAGGGAGGUAUAGUACAUGCGAAAUUUAUGAAGCACAGAAGACAUGAUGAGCAGGCUUGUUGAUAUAUGCCAUCUCGACGUCUAGCAUUAUCGGAAGGUAUUGGGAAUCUGAUUAGCAACAGUAGAAUUUGCCUAUAGCGUGGUGGAAUACUCUACUAGCACCUACUAUAUAUUGUCAUUUGUUAUGGAUCACGGUCCAUAAAUUCAUUUGUUGCAUAUGUACGAAAGCCUGCUCAAUCUGGCAGACCGAACUCUUUUACCAAAUUAUCCCAUUUUCUAUAUAAAAUGGGCGUAAAUUAAUUGUUUGAGUGUGUGAGGGGGUCAGAUUUCUUCAGGGAUCUAUUUGGUACUCUUUUGAUUAGGCUCACUACUACAUAAUAGUACCAACAUACCACCGUAUCAAUGCUCGUCGAGGACCAUGACCUGAUAGUGAAUUUCCCAUUCACACACUCGGCCCAUGUCUUCUAUAGGCAUGAACUAGCACUAAUGCUAACACAAAGUGUUAGCUGGGAGCAAAAACCUGCACUGAUUAAUUAGUGGGUGGACAAACACUGCUGGUUUGAAUAAAUAGCUAUCAUCGAACAGUGUCAGUUCAUUGCUAGCUAUAACUGGUAGUAAUAAGUCGGUACUAAAAUUUUAAAUUUGGGAUGGAGUCAUCACCCCCGGUUUUAACUAUGAACCAACACUAAUAAAAGCCUCAUUUGUACCCCUAUUCUAUCGACGAACCGACACCAAUGACCCUAGUAAUAUUAGCUUCUGUUUUUGAUAUGAACACAACCUUCUCAUUCGAGCUGAACCAACUCGAUUAAAAGCAAUGAAUUACUACUGCACCACCAAUGUGAAUCCUCUUGCGUGUGCAAAAUUAUUAUACAUGGUACCCUGACCAUAUAUAUUACUUUGCAAGUGUUUGCUUCUCUCAGCUCAUCCAAUAAAAGAGGAAAUUAUGUAGAGAUGUUGCCCACUAGCAGACACUAGUCCACUUAUGCUCUACUAAUCAUCUUCUGUUCCCAUGCAUGUUAAACCUAGCUCGAUAUCAUACAUUUAGGCAUGGUAGGCAUGUCGGAUUUUGGUAUAUUAUGUUUCUCCAUCUAGCUUCCUGUGUAGUGCCUCGAAGGUUUAUGACGUGUGUGGUUGCAAUUGCCAUUGGACGCUGCACCAAAUUAAAGUUGUUAGGCAAAUUAUCAUUUUAAUAUUUUGCAAACUUGCAUGCAUAGGAGUAGCCAAUCGUGCCAAAACAUCGCUGGUUUGGCAAUCAUGAAGGAUAGAAAGAACCAAGGGCAAGAAUAAUGUGUGUGCAGUUGGUCUCCUAUGAGCCAACACACCUCUAGUAGCCUCUUCAAAGGCCUUUAGAAAUUCAUAUAUUAAUUUAGCAUGGAUCUAUUUUUUGUCA